rnacentral:rRNA from 1 species
UACGGAGGGUGCAAGCGUUGCUCGGAAUUAUUGGGCGUAAAGGGCAGGUAGGUGGUCUCAUUUGUCUGGGGUGAAAUCCUUGGGCUUAACCCAAGAAGUGCCCCGGAGACGGUGAGACUAGAGUUUUGGAGAGGGUCGUGGAAUUCCCGGUGUAGCGGUGAAAUGCGUAGAGAUCGGGAGGAACACCAGAGGCGAAAGCGGCGACCUGGACAAUGACUGACACUCAACUGCGAAAGCGUGGGGAGCAAACAGG